rnacentral:rRNA from 1 species
UACGAAGGGGGCUAGCGUUGCUCGGAAUCACUGGGCGUAAAGGGUGCGUAGGCGGGUCUUUAAGUCAGGGGUGAAAUCCUGGAGCUCAACUCCAGAACUGCCUUUGAUACUGAAGAUCUUGAGUUCGGGAGAGGUGAGUGGAACUGCGAGUGUAGAGGUGAAAUUCGUAGAUAUUCGCAAGAACACCGGUGGCGAAGGCGGCCCGCUGGGCAGAGACUGACGCUGAGGCGCGACAGCGUGGGGAGCAAACAGG